AAAUCAAUAAUAUGUGUGUGUGUGUGUGUGUAUGUGUGUGUAUAUAUAUAUAUUUUUUUAAGUUAACAUUCCUCUCCCUGGCUGGGUGGCUCAGUUGGUUGGAGCAUCUCAUGCACCAAAAAGGCUGUGGAUUCGAUGCCUGGUCAGAGCGCAUAUGGGAGGCAACCUAUUGAUGUUUCUCUCUCUCCUCCCUCCUCUCCUCUAAAAAUCAAUAAAAACACAUCCUCAGGUGAGGAUUUAAAAAACGGUAGUGUUCCCCAAUGAUUUUAUGGAUUUAAUGGCAUUUCAGUUACAAUCCCAAAAAGACCAUUUUAGAACUGAAAUAAUCUCACUGAGGGACAGCCCAGAGACGAGGGCCGGCUGGAGAACUCGCAUGGAGUGACAGGCGCGGCCCAGGAACAGCCGCGCCCACGGGGACAGGCCCUGGGCCUGCAGGCUCCAGGGCCCGAUCAGCGGCGCCUGGGCUGCUCCUGCAGGUGAACCCAACCACACAGCCGCCCCCAACCUGGCUUGGCCGUCAGGACUCUUAACCAGCGACCACACACCCAGCACUGACUGCCAGCCAGGGGCCACCUCCUUCACGCACCAGGACCAGACCCCCGGGGCCGCAGGGCCUUGUUUCCUACCACCCAAGGCCCAGGCCCUUGAAUGCCCCUAGUCCACUUCAGGAUGAAAUCUACGAAGACCAGGAGUCCAGAUGUCCUCUGCUCAUACAUCAAAGGCUCCCGUCGUAACCAGAAGGGUUCCACAGCCCUGGGGCCACAGAAAUCCAACUAAAAUCAAAGCCGGGAGCACUCUGGCUACAGGAGGGCCAGGGGGGCUGCUGCUGGGAGUGGCUCCUACACAGACUUUGUUGUGUCCCCUCGAAGGCUGUGCUUCUGCCGGCCCUGCCAUCAGAUACGCGCACAUGAGUGCAAGGCUGUGGGCAGGCUCAUAAGCAGAAACAUAAAAAAUAGAAGAGCAGGAGACACUGGCUCCCCAAAUGGAGGGUUCCCAUCGUUCCAGCAGCCCCCGAGGCAGACACGCUUACUUACAGGCGGCUGAUCCACCCCACGGCGCUGGCACAGCUGAGACAGGCGUGGUCCCCCGGACUACCUGCAGCAAAGCAGAGGGAACAGUCAGUUCACACCAGGCGCUCUAUGCUGACCCUCGGCGAGUCUGAGGAGCCUCUCUAAGGUAAGCUGCUGGAAGCCCGAGUGCCUGCUAAACAGUUCAGGGUGCUGCCAGGCGAAGGGUUUGCCCCGGGACGGCCCGGUGUCUUGGGGGGGCUCUAGGGGAGAAGGGGAGCCCGAGUCAGCCCCUGGCUCCUCAUCUCCCAAGUGGAGACACAGACUCCGCCAGCCAAAGGCCCCAGGGGACAGCUCCCUGCUGGCUCCAGCUUGGCUCUGGUGGGCAGAGCCAGAAUGAACAUGACCCCAAUGCACAGGCAGCCCCACGUGCAAGCAAGGCCACACCCAAGUGACCCACCGCUUCCCCUGCCCACACGAGGGGCGAGGGCUGAGAAUUACUGGAAAAACAAACGCCAAGAGUAAGCCAUUUCUUGGCUAAACACUGAUGAGCACACAGCGCAAUUUUCGGAUCUGGUUGUAUGUGUGACCCUCUCUCUACCUCACUAGCCCCCUCAGCAUAAGUGCAGGGUCACCCACAUGACCAGCCUGCGGGCCUCCUGGGGUCAGGCCCUGUGCCGGGAAACAGCCUGAGGGGACAGGACAGUCCUGAGCCGCUGGGCGCAGGCGGGAGCCUGGAGGCGGCUGGCAGCAAGGCCGGCAGGAGCAGGCGUGCCUGGAACAGGCGGGGUUGCUGAGAGCCAACGCUGGGCCAGCAGAAGAGAGAAGACGGACGGGGCCGCGGCCGGCCCCACCCUAGGCCCCGCGGUGCGGCCAGGCGAGGUGGACCCUCUGAGGACAUGGACUCCAGCUGUCACUUGUGAAAUUCGAUAGGAGGCUGCUGUCAACACGGACUAGUCUCACUUUCCUGUGCAGAAAGCUGUUCCCAUCAAACAUUAAAUUUAGAGUCUUGCUCGUGGACAUCAGCCUGGCUGUAAGUGGGGGCUGGGCUCACAAGCUCGGUCACCAUGGUUCAUAAAGUACCUUUCCUAUUUCA